rnacentral:rRNA from 1 species
UACGUAGGUGGCAAGCGUUGUCCGGAUUCAUUGGGCGUAAAGAGCUCGUAGGCGGUUCGAUAAGUCGGGUGUGAAACCUCCAGGCUCAACCUGGAGACGCCACCCGAUACUGUCGUGACUAGAGUCCAGUAGGGGAGCGUGGAAUUCCUGGUGUAGCGGUGAAAUGCGCAGAUAUCAGGAGGAGCACCAGCGGCGAAGGCGGCGCUCUGGGCUGGAACUGACGCUGAGGAGCGAAAGCGUGGGGAGCGAACAGG